CGGUGAAUAGCGCAGUUUGGUAGCGCAUCUGGUUUGGGACCAGAGGGGGUUCGAAUCCCUCUUCACCGACCA
rnacentral:tRNA from 1 species